rnacentral:rRNA from 1 species
UACAGAGGGGGCAAGCGUUAUUCGGAAUUAUUGGGCGUAAAGGGCGCGUAGGCGGCUUGGCAAGUGGAUGGUGAAAUCCCUCGGCUUAACCGAGGAACUGCCGUCCAAACUGCUUCGCUUGAGACCGGGAGAGGUGAGUGGAAUUCCCAGUGUAGCGGUGAAAUGCGUAGAUAUUGGGAGGAACACCAGUGGCGAAGGCGGCUCACUGGACCGUUACUGACGCUGAGGCGCGAAAGCGUGGGGAGCAAACGGG